CCCCUGGACCCUGGACUUUCCAGUCUCUGAAACUAUGUGAUCAACAGUUGAAUGGACCACCAUGUCACGAUUAGACACAAUGAAAUGAUCAUCUGUGUCAGAACAGAUGAAGGAACUGAUAUGAAGAGGAGUCGAGUAAUUUAUCCAAGGACACAUGGCUGGUAAAUAAAUAGGCUCUGACUUGAAAACAUCUCACAGAACCUUAGCCUGGGCUCCAGGGAUAGAAUAGAGUGGAAUGGCACAGAUCAGAACCUUCCAUCACCACGGUAGCUUCCCAGUGGCUGAUCCACACCAGUGGACUUGGAAUAGGCUUUGAGUUGCUGUGUGUUAAAGGUAAAUUAUAGUAAUAUAUCAAUAGAAACAGUAAUAUAUUUUCUGUGUAUAUACAGUCAAUGCUUGUUAUUGUGGUAGUUAUGUUCUGUAGUCACCACAAACCCUGAAUUAGCAAAUACUGAGCUGUUGCUCCUAAGAAAAGUAGGUUCCCGCAAACGUCUGCCCACUACAUUUUUGUCAACCAAUCAAUACAUAACCUUAUUCUAUGUAUGUUUCUGUUUGAA